AUUUCGAUGGCCUAUGGUAAUAGCUCCCACUUCAGAUGCGGGAGGUUGCGGGUUCGAACCCCGGCCGAAUCAUA